rnacentral:rRNA from 1 species
CGAACGAUGAAGCUUCUAGCUUGCUAGAAGUGGAUUAGUGGCGCACGGGUGAGUAAGGUAUAGUUAAUCUGCCCUACACAAGAGGACAACAGUUGGAAACGACUGCUAAUACUCUAUACUCCUGCUUAACACAAGUUGAGUAGGGAAAGUUUUUCGGUGUAGGAUGAGACUAUAUAGUAUCAGCUAGUUGGUAAGGUAAUGGCUUACCAAGGCUAUGACGCUUAACUGGUCUGAGAGGAUGAUCAGUCACACUGGAACUGAGACACGGUCCAGACUCCUACGGGAGGCAGCAGUAGGGAAUAUUGCGCAAUGGGGGAAACCCUGACGCAGCAACGCCGCGUGGAGGAUGACACUUUUCGGAGCGUAAACUCCUUUUCUUAGGGAAGAAUUCUGACGGUACCUAAGGAAUAAGCACCGGCUAACUCCGUGCCAGCAGCCGCGGUAAUACGGAGGGUGCAAGCGUUACUCGGAAUCACUGGGCGUAAAGGGCGCGUAGGCGGAUUAUCAAGUCUCUUGUGAAAUCUAAUGGCUUAACCAUUAAACUGCUUGGGAAACUGAUAGUCUAGAGUGAGGGAGAGGCAGAUGGAAUUGGUGGUGUAGGGGUAAAAUCCGUAGAUAUCACCAAGAAUACCCAUUGCGAAGGCGAUCUGCUGGAACUCAACUGACGCUAAGGCGCGAAAGCGUGGGGAGCAAACAGGAUUAGAUACCCUGGUAGUCCACGCCCUAAACGAUGUACACUAGUUGUUGGGGUGCUAGUCAUCUCAGUAAUGCAGCUAACGCAUUAAGUGUACCGCCUGGGGAGUACGGUCGCAAGAUUAAAACUCAAAGGAAUAGACGGGGACCCGCACAAGCGGUGGAGCAUGUGGUUUAAUUCGAAGAUACGCGAAGAACCUUACCUGGGCUUGAUAUCCUAAGAACCUUUUAGAGAUAAGAGGGUGCUAGCUUGCUAGAACUUAGAGACAGGUGCUGCACGGCUGUCGUCAGCUCGUGUCGUGAGAUGUUGGGUUAAGUCCCGCAACGAGCGCAACCCACGUAUUUAGUUGCUAACGGUUCGGCCGAGCACUCUAAAUAGACUGCCUUCGUAAGGAGGAGGAAGGUGUGGACGACGUCAAGUCAUCAUGGCCCUUAUGCCCAGGGCGACACACGUGCUACAAUGGCAUAUACAAUGAGACGCAAUACCGCGAGGUGGAGCAAAUCUAUAAAAUAUGUCCCAGUUCGGAUUGUUCUCUGCAACUCGAGAGCAUGAAGCCGGAAUCGCUAGUAAUCGUAGAUCAGCCAUGCUACGGUGAAUACGUUCCCGGGUCUUGUACUCACCGCCCGUCACACCAUGGGAGUUGAUUUCACUCGAAGCCGGAAUACUAAACUAG